AGAACGAACGCUGGCGGCAUGCCUAACACAUGCAAGUCGAACGCUUUUGGGGCUUCGGUCCCAAAGGAGUGGCGCACGGGUGAGUAGCGCGUGGGAACCUGCCCUGUUGUGGGGGAUAACCGAGGGAAACUUCGGCUAAUACCGCAUACGCCCGGGGGAAACUCCGGGGAAAGAUUUAUCGCAGCAGGAGGGGCCCGCGUCGGAUUAGGUAGUUGGUGGGGUAACGGCCCACCAAGCCUGUGAUCCGUAGCUGGUCUGAGAGGAUGAUCAGCCACACUGGGACUGAGACACGGCCCAGACUCCUACGGGAGGCAGCAGUGGGAAUAUUGGACAAUGGGCGCAAGCCUGAUCCAGCAAUGCCGCGUGAGUGAUGAAGGCCUUCGGGUUGUAAAGCUCUUUCGCACGCGACGAUGAUGACGGUAGCGUGAGAAGACGCCCGGCUAACUUCGUGCCAGCAGCCGC
rnacentral:rRNA from 1 species